UUCAAAGCAGACUCGUUCGAGACCAUACAUUACUAGCGUUAGAAAUGAUUCAAAUGAUUAUAUACAGUAUAUAUAUUUUUAAAUAAUGCAGACGUAUUCUGCAACAGCUACAUUGUGAGAGCGAGGAGAUUCAUUUAUAUAAAAUUUUUCGCUAAACAAACUUUUCCAUAUUUACGCCUUAGCGGUUUUUGCUAACUAUUACUGAAGGAAAAAAAGCGAGCCUGCAGCGCGCAAGCGCAAGCAUAGAGCGCUUUGCGCAUGCGUACUAACAGCGGCGUUCGAGGUUGUGUUUACGGCGCUUCUGCUGGUCUAUGCCAUGGUCUGUCAAACCUCUGUGGAAUAAAAACAAAAAAAAAGUCUUUUGAGGAAACAGGCUGCAGAACAAGUUACCUGGCGCAGGCGUGUUAGGACCGGAUCGACACGUGCGUCUAAAGCAACUAUUUUGUGAGGUUCCAGUGCAUAAUAUGGUUAUUCAAUAGGGCUGGGUGAUGUAUUGAUAUAAUACUGAUAUUUCAUACACGGCUACAUGAGACACUUUUCUGAAGUAUUGUUGGUACGGCGAUGUUUUUUUGCGUUUUUAAUAAUGAAUUACAAGUGUAAUCUUUUGUCAUUGUCGGCAUUAAAGAAAAGUCCCGUCGACGUCAGUUUAACGGGUUUUUCUUUCAUUUGCUGCCGCUUCGCGGAGAGAUUGUUAGCCAAAUGAUGUACCGUUAUACAAACCGUGCAUCGUAGAAAUAUCGUCAUAUAUCCUAAUAUUUUUGAUGUGGUGAUUUCCGUGUCUAUAUUGAGUAUGGAGGUUUGGGGGCGUGGCUGUGUAUGAGCUCAGCGUGUGAUGUCGCUAAAAUCCCACCGACUCCAUAACUUUGGACCAAUCACGUCUAAGGUUCUUUUAGGGAACGUGUGGCUCGUUACAGAACGUCUGCGGUGUGUCGUGGCAACGUUAUAAUUGGGCGGAGAGAAAACGGCGACGUCGGUGAACGCCGAGUCACGUGAUAACCCGACGAGAGGCAUUUCGAAUUUGCAUAUCAUACAUAUUCAUAGGUUGUAGGUCAGGGUAAAGGUUGUGGAUAUGUCUCUUGGGCAUUUUAAAGUAAAUUAUAAUAUCGGCGAAGGUGUACUCUUGAUAAAAGACUGUG
ensembl:lncRNA